GCGGGAAAUGGCCAAUUCUGCUCGUCUGGCCCCAAAACGGCCCCAGCCCAUCCCCCUGCCCGGGGGGCUCCCCCGGGACUGGGGAUUCACGGAGCGAUGCCCCCAGCCCGGGGUCGGGGGGUUCGGCCGCCUCCUCCCCCCCCCGCGAAUAAAAAUUACAAAUUUCUGCAAGUUCUGGUGGAGCCCCGAGCAAGGAGGGCCCGGGGGGGCCUGGGGGGGGUUUGCAACUGCGUUUGUUCGGCUUUCAGUGCCCAACAGGGGAAAAAAUAAAAAUAAAAAAUAAAAAAAGGGAAAAGCAAAGACAACAAAACCACCAAGAAGCUCCGAGGGAGGGGAAGGAAAAUGGGUGAAAAUAGGAAAGGAAAAUAGGAAGGUGCCAGAAGGGUGGGGAGGUGGAAGAGCGGGGGCUGAUCCUACAAAAUGGAAUUAUUGCACCCCAAAACACCCCCAGAAAAAGGAGCAGCCUCUCGCUGCUCGGCCUCUUUCUCUCCCCCGGGAUAAAGUGCUGGAGGAACAAUUCCGGGGUUUCCAGGUUCGGGUGAAAUCAGGCAGGACAAGGGCGGACGCCGGAGCUCAUUGGCCGGGGAAAAUCGGGGUAAUCAAACCAAAGUACUGGGGAAAAUUGGGAUAAUCAAGCCAAAGUACCGGGGAAAGGU